UUGAACUCUGUAUUUAGAAAGAUGUUUUUCUAAUCACAGAAUAAAUUACGAAAUAUUCUUUUAAUCACAUACCACAGAAUAAAUUACGAAAUAUUUCUAUCCCAAAGAUCUUUUUCUAAUCACAUAAUAAAUUACGAAAUAUUCUCUUAAUCACAUACCACAGAAUAAAUUACAAAAUAUUUCUGUCCAAAAGAUCUUUUUCUAAUCAAGGAAUAAAUUACGAAAUAUUUUCUUAAUCACAUACCACAGAAUAAAUUACGAAAUAUUUCUAUCCCAAAGAUCUUUUUCUAAUCACAGAAUAAAUUACGAAAUAUUCUCUUAAUCACAUACCACAGAAUAAAUUAUGAAAUAUUCUCUUAAUCACAUACCACAAAAUAAAUUACGAAAUAUUUCUAUCCCAAGGAUCAUUUUCUAAUCACAGAAUAAAUUACAAAAUAUUCUCUUAAUCACAUACCACAGAAUAAAUUACGAAAUAUUCUUUUAAUCACAUACCACAUAAUAAAUUAUGAAAUAUUUCUAUUCCAAAGAUCUUUUUCUAAUCACAGAAUAAAUUACGAAAUAUUCUUUUAAUCACAUACCACAGAAUAAAUUACAAAAUACUCUCUUAAUCACAUACCACAGAAUAAAUUAUGAAAUAUUUCUAUAAUAAAUUAUAAAAAAAAGUAAUAUAUGGCAAAAAUAACAAGUCUCUCGCUAGUCGCGCUCUCUUUUGCUCCCCUCCCUUCCCAUCUCUCUCCAUCUCCUCGCUUCCCGCGCUCUCCCCUCCCCUCCCCGAGCUCUCUCUCCUUCCCC
rnacentral:lncRNA from 1 species